rnacentral:tRNA from 1 species
GCCUCGGUGGUUUAGUGGUCAAGACGCUCGCCUGGUAAUUAGAAGGGCGAGGGUUCAAUCCCAGUCCGAGGUA